UGAUUUUUCUUGAUCUUUCAAGAUUUCAUUUUUCGUUAUUUUUCUAUGUUUUUUCAUUUCUCGAGAUUUUUCAUGACACUGAAGCGGUUCCAGCAGUACAUUCUCAGCAAAGAUAUAGGCUUUAUUUUAUUUUUUUAACUACUUUAUUAAAAAUAUAUAUCAUGCUGGCAACAUUUCAUGCAAACUACAACUUGUAACUCACAGAAACCCCCAAAGGACAGGCCUUUUCCUGCAGUGGCGGCCAGCUCCAGCUCAUCGGGUUCUAGAGGUGACGGUGGAUGCGCAGAUGAUGCGCUACUUGUGAAAAACCCUCAAUGCUUUUGAAGCACAAGCAGUUGAGGACAAAGGCGGUCUGCCGAAGAAACCACUCAGCUCCUCUGAAAGACAAGGUAUAUCA